UGCAAGUCGAACGCAGCGCGGGCUUCGGCCUGGCGGCGAGUGGCGGACGGGUGAGUAAUGCAUCGGAACGUGCCCAGGAGUGGGGGAUAACGUAGCGAAAGUUACGCUAAUACCGCAUACGUACUGAGGUAGAAAGCGGGGGAUCGAAAGACCUCGCGCUCAUGGAGCGGCCGAUGUCGGAUUAGCUAGUUGGUGGGGUAAAGGCCUACCAAGGCGACGAUCCGUAGCUGGUCUGAGAGGACGACCAGCCACACUGGGACUGAGACACGGCCCAGACUCCUACGGGAGGCAGCAGUGGGGAAUCUUGGACAAUGGGGGAAACCCUGAUCCAGCAAUGCCGCGUGUGGGAUGAAGGCCCUCGGGUUGUAAACCACUUUUGGCAGGAAAGAAAUUGCCUGUGCUAAUACCAUGGGCGGAUGACGGCACCUGCAGAAUAAGCACCGGCUAACUACGUGCCAGCAGCCGCGGUAAUACGUAGGGUGCGAGCGUUAAUCGGAAUUACUGGGCGUAAAGAGUGCGUAGGCGGUUUUGUAAGACAGAUGUGAAAUCCCCGGGCUUAACCUGGGAACUGCAUUUGUGACUGCAAGACUAGAGUGUGUCAGAGGGAGGUGGAAUUCCGCGUGUAGCAGUGAAAUGCGUAGAGAUGCGGAAGAACACCGAUGGCGAAGGCAGCCUCCUGGGAUAACACUGACGCUCAGGCACGAAAGCGUGGGGAGCAAA
rnacentral:rRNA from 1 species